CCUACGGGAGGCAGCAGUGGGGAAUAUUGGACCAUGGGGGCAACCCUGAUCCAGCGACGCCGCGUGUGUGAAGAAGGCCUGCGGGUUGUAAAGCACUUUUAGUGGGGAGGAAAUGCUCAGACCUAACACGUCUGAGAGCUGACUUAACCCAAAGAAAAAGCACCGGCUAACUCUGUGCCAGCAGCCGCGGUAAUACAGAGGGCGCAAGCGUUAAUCGGAAUUACUGGGCGUAAAGCGAACGUAGGCGGUUACCUAAGUCGGAUGUGAAAUCCCCGGGCUCAACCUGGGAAUUGCAUUCGAGACUGGAUAGCUAGAAUGCGGAAGAGGGAAGCGGAAUUUCCGGUGUAGCGGUGAAAUGCGUAGAUAUCGGAAGGAACAUCAGUGGCGAAAGCGGCUUCCUGGUCCAGCAUUGACGCUCAGGUUCGAAAGCGUGGGGAGCAAACAGGAUUAGAUACCCUGGUAGUCCACGCCAUAAACGAUGAGGACUAGACGUUGAGAGGGUUAGCCUCCCAGUGUCGCAGCUAACGCGCUAAGUCCUCCGCCUGGGGAGUACGGCCGCCAAAGGUUGAAACUCAAAGGAAUUGACGG
rnacentral:rRNA from 1 species